UUCUAGCUUUCAACUGUGUGAGGAGAACACCUGUGAGAUCUAGACGAGAUACAGACAGCUUGCCACCUCUUCACAUGAGAAGCAUUUCCAUGCACAAUGACAAGCAAUACAAGGUUGUGGCUCAUCAUCAAGAAUUGCUGAUAUAUUCAUAGAAGCAGUUACUUAUCCAAGUUCACUAUAGGAAUAGAAACAAGGAUUGAUUUAUAAUAAGCAGCGAUGGCAAAACCUGGAACCCAGUGUGUGGACCCAUAAGAUAAGAUUGUCAACUAUCCAUAAAUUUCUGGACCAUCUGUUAAAAUAAUGGAUUUUUUCCUAAUUUAAAAUAAAC